rnacentral:rRNA from 1 species
GAGUUUGAUCCUGGCUCAGGACGAACGCUGGCGGCGUGCUUAACACAUGCAAGUCGAGCGAGAAAGCUCCUUCGGGAGUUAGUACAGCGGCGAACGGGUGAGUAACACGUGGGCAACCUGCCCUAGGGAGCGGGACAACCCGGGGAAACUCGGGCUAAUACCGCAUGAUUCGCCGGGCCUCAAGGCCCGGCGGGAAAUGGUAGCUUCGGCCUCCGCCCUAGGAUGGGCCCGCGCCGCAUUAGCUUGUUGGUGGGGUAACGGCUCACCAAGGCGACGAUGCGUAGCUGGUCUGAGAGGACGAUCAGCCACACUGGGACUGAGACACGGCCCAGACUCCUACGGGAGGCAGCAGUGGGGAAUCUUGCGCAAUGGGCGGAAGCCUGACGCAGCAACGCCGCGUGUGGGAAGACGGCCUUCGGGUUGUAAACCACUUUCAGGGGGGACGAAGCUUCCGAGGUUAAUAGCCUACGGGGUGACGGUACCCCCAGAAGAAGCCCCGGCUAACUACGUGCCAGCAGCCGCGGUAAUACGGAGGGUGCAAGCGUUGUUCGGAAUUAUUGGGCGUAAAGCGCGUGUAGGCGGCUUGGCAAGUCGGGUGUGAAAUCCCGGGGCCCAACCCCGGAACUGCAUUCGAAACUGCCUCGCUAGAG